AGAGAUGUGUGAUGACGCAUAUCAAUAAGCGGAGGAAAAGGAACUAACUAGGAUUCCCUCAGUAACGGCGAGUGAAGCGGGAAGAGCUCAAAUUUGAAAUCUUCAAGGUUCUACCUUGACGAAUUGUAGUUUAAAGAAGUGUUUUCUGUUGGAGUUUUGGUAAAAGUUCUUUGGAAUAGGACAUCAUAGAGGGUGAGAAUCCCGUAUUUGAUCAUUCUUUCCAACUUUGUGAUACACUUUCAACGAGUCGGAUUGUUUGGGAAUGCAUGUCCAAAAUGGGUGGUAAAUUUCAUCUAAAGCUAAAUAUUGGCGAGAGACCGAUAGCGAACAUGUACCGUGAGGGAAAGAUGAAAAGAACUUUGAAAAGAGAGUUAAACAGUACGUGAAAUUGUCAAAAGGGAAGCGUUUGACACCAGUGUUGUUUUUCCGAAAAGUCAAUUACGAAUGUUUUGUUUUUAAGAAGUUAUGACUUCAUCGGCUUGCUUCUUUCUUUACGAAACUUUCUUAAUGCACUUUUCGGUUAACAAGUCAACAUCAAUUUCUUUUGUUGUAAAAGGGUACGAGGAAGGUGGCUUUCUUUUCGGAGAAAGUGUUUAUAGCCUUGUAGCCUCUGCAAUCGGAGAAAUUGAGGUCUGCAGCGUAGAUCCUUCGGGGUUAGAUACAUUUGUGCUAAGUUACAGCUUUUCAUAGACAACUUGUUGACUAUGUUUAGUCUUGUAGCUUACUCGCUUAUGCUAUUUUACCUACGCUUAGGAUGUUGAAGAUGUAGCACAUCAU
rnacentral:rRNA from 1 species